CCUACGAGAGGCAGCAGUAGGGAAUUUUGCGCAAUGGGCGAAAGCCUGACGCAGCAACGCCGCGUGAUCGAGACGCCCUUCGGGGUGUAAAGAUCUGUCAGAGGGGACGAAACUUGAAGGUACCCACAGAGGAAGCACCGGCUAACUCCGUGCCAGCAGCCGAGGGAAUACGGGGGUGCAAGCGUUGUCCGGAAUCAUUGGGCGUAAAGAGUUCGUAGGCGGCAUGGAAAGUCUGGUGUUAAAGGCAGAGGCUCAACUUCUGUACGGAACUGGAAACUUGCGAGCUAGAAUGCGGGAGGGGUAGAGGGAAUUCCUGGUGUAGCGGUGAAAUGCUUAGAUAUCAGGAGGAACAUCGGUGGCGUAGGCGCUUUCCUGGGCCGUAAUUGACGCUGAGGAACGAAAGCCAGGGUAGCAAAUGGGAUUAGAUACCCGAGUAGUC
rnacentral:rRNA from 1 species